UUGUAGCAUACAAGGCGGACGGCUCAGUAACACGUAGUCAACCUCACUCGUGGACGUGGAUAACCUCGGGAAACUGAGAAUAAACCGCGAUAGAUCAUAGUGCCUGGAAUGGCUUAUGGUCAAAACAGUUUACUGCCAUGGGAUGGGACUGCGGCCUAUCAGCUUGUUGGUGAGGUAAUGGCCCACCAAGGCGAUUACAGGUACGGGCUCUGAGAGGAGAAGCCCGGAGAUGGGUACUGAGACACGGACCCAGGCCCUAUGGGGCGCAGCAGGCGAGAAACCUUAGCAAUGUGCGAAAGCACGACUGGGUCAGUCCGAGUGAUUCCUGAUAAAAGAGUCUUUUGCUUGUCCUAAAAACACAGGCGAAUAAGGGGUGGGCAAGUCUGGUGUCAGCCGCCGCGGUAAUACCAGCACCUCGAGUGGUCAGGAUGUUUAUUGGGCCUAAAGCAUCCGUAGCCGGCUCUGCAAGUCUUCGGUUAAAUCCACCUGCUCAACAGAUGGGCUGCUGGAGAUACUACAGAGCUAGGGAGUGGGAGAGGCAGACGGUAUUCAGUGGGUAGGGGUAAAAUCCUCUGAUCCAUUGAGGACCACCAGUGGCGAAGGCGGUCUGCCAGAACACGUUCGACGGUGAGGGAUGAAAGCUGGGGGAGCAAACCGGAUUAGAUACCC
rnacentral:rRNA from 1 species